GGAUGUGAGGGCGAUCUGGCUGCGACAUCUGUCACCCCAUUGAUCACCAGGGUUGAUUUGGCUGAUCUGGCUGGCUAGGCGGGUGUUCCCUUCCUCCCUCACCAAUCCAUGUGCAUCCCUCCCGAAGCUGCGUGCCUUCCCCCAACAGAGACUGACUGGUCUUCGGUGGAGGGUAUACGAGUAGCUGCACUCCCCUGCUAGAACCUCCAAACAAGCUCUCAAGGAAAUGGGUUCCAGGGCUGGAGAGGUAGCAAAUGGUUAUUCAAAAAGACUUUCAUACCUGAGGCUUACAAGU
rnacentral:snRNA from 1 species